UGCAGGAGUAAAAGCAAUUGAAUCGUGUUCCCAGGUCGGGAAGGUAGUUGCGGCGGAUUUGGUCAACUGCAAAAGUCCGUCCAACUCCUUUCCGUCUUGGUGGCGCGAAUUCCUCCUCCU